rnacentral:lncRNA from 1 species
UUAAAUCAAGAGUUUCCCCUCAAAAUUCCCUCCAUCCUUUUGAUUUUCUUAACAUCCAAAUACCUUUUCUUCUUCAAUUUCAAAAGAAAUUCAUUCUUUCUCUUUCAAUUUUCUAUUAACACUUAGCUCGUUUUUGCUCAAAUUGAUCAAAUUUCAUGGAGAUCUUCAAAUUAAAGGUAAACAUUCUGAUUUCUUAUGGUUUAAACAUUUAUUAUGUGAUUUCAAUUCAAACUUUUACAGAUCUAAUCAAGAAAACCUAAGAUCUAUGGUUUUAAAGCUUGAUUUUGAUUAAAAAUGGUGGGUCUUUUAGUAAUGAGCUAAGAGAUGGUUAUAAAACAAUUAUUAACUUAUUUUGAGGUAAUUAAGAGGUUUACAAACUUGAUUUAACAAAACCUUAAAGAAUUUUCAUGAAUCAAAUGAUUUUCUUCUUUGAGAUGGAAGACAAACGUGAUUUUCCGAAAAAAAGUUGAUUUGUGAAAUUGAAUGGAAUUAAUGGUCCAGAUCUGCAAUUAAACACUAGUUAUGAGAUUAGGAAGUAAGGAUUAGGGGUUUAACUGAGUUAAAAACAAAGUAAUUUUAAGAUUAAAGUUAGGCGAGUUGAGCUCGCCAGUUUGUAAGAAUGGCGAGCUGCUAUUGGGUUGUUAAGAGUUUAUUUUGUUAGUGAAUGUUAGUAAUCUGUGUGUUUCAUGUUAUAUGCAAAGCCUCUCAAUGCAAAGGUGCGUCCAUGAGCAAGGACAAGGGCAUGCAGAAGGUGGUGUAGCUUCGGGAAGCAACAGCGAACUGCAAGUGAGUGUUUUUGCAUAUCGCACUUAAACACCAGUUCCCGUGCUCAAGAAAGUCCAGGAUAGACAUGCGAACCGUGUUAUAUUUUUAUGCGAGCCCUGAUUUGUGACUUGCGAACCCUGAUAUCAAGUGUGAGUGCUAUGUACAUUGUGUGCAAGCCUAUCCUGUAUGCAAGCCAUUGAUAUGUGCGAGCCUUAAGUGACAUGGGAACCCCAUACAUUGUUUGCGAACCCGUAUGAUUUAUGUGAACCCCUUGCAUUUGAGAUCCCUGUCGCAUAUUAUGCGAACCUUUACAAUUGUGUGAGCUUAUGUGUGUGCGAGCUCUGUAUUAUGCGAGCCUAUAUACAUGUGCGAGCUCUAUGUUGUGUGCGAGCCAUAUACUGAAUGGGAACCUUGAAUAUGUGCGAACCCAUAUGUGUAUUGGGAGCCCUAUUGUAAUGUGAGUGGUGAAUGUGUUAAAAAAAAGAUAUAUUGGCAUUGUGAACACUUGAAAUCAUUGGAAAUCAUUAUGAACACUCAAGAUUAAUGUACGCUACACUAUGAACAUCACAAGUGAAUAAAUUUAUAAACAGACUUAGGAUUUAUUCUGCUUAGGUCAUAUCUAAUAU